CGCCGCCAGGAGGCCGGACCGCGCUGGGGCGGUGGCGGCUCGGGCUGGCUGGUAAGAGGCCGCCCUCGCUCCUCCCCGGCGGCGCGGCCGUUGGGAUUUGAAAUGCGGGCGUUCGGCGGGGCCGUGCCGACACCGGAGGCGGGAAGCGGCCUCUGAGGCUUCGCGGCGCGCCCGGCUCGAACGCUGGCGAGAUUGAGAAAAGCGAGAGUUUCGAGCUCUAAGAAAGCUACACAAGAGCCGCGUUAACGCAAAACCUUUAAUAGCUCAGCCGCUGCGGUGACGGAGGGGCCGGCCCUGACCUAUUUUCCGCCGUGAGGUAACCACGGAAAUAUGUGGCCGUAUCCAUUACUGUACGCUCGUGGAAUCAGAAGAGUAACCGGGAGGUCAGCGAGCGAUUUGAGGAGACGCAGAUCCCUGUAAGCCGAAGAACUGCCUGAGCCAGGGAACGCGAUUAUGCCGCAGUUUGGGUUUGUGCUGCAGAUGGCUUUUUAAUCUGAUUGCAUAACCUGGCAUUAGAGAACAAGGGUAGGUCCCGCUUACGCUCCCGGCAGUUGCGAAUGAAGGAUACAGCAAAUGGAGUUAGGCUGAGCAUACAGUAACAGACAGCAGUUCCGCACAAGGGCACGUUUUGUGAUUAAAGGGAGGAACUGGAUAAGAGCUGGAAAAAAUAUCAAACCCUCCUUUGUUAUCAGCCCAACUGAAGGCUGAGCGAAGCAUCUGGGUUUCAUUCCACACCCAGCCACUGUGUAAUCUCAGAAAACAGACGUUUAACUCACUGCUAAUGCUGCUUGUGAUUCGACCCUUUCAAAAGUUAUAAUGAUGUUAAUAAUAAUAAAACAAACAAACAAAAACACACAGCAAUAGGAGGCCUUACCUAAAGAAGAUAUAGGAAGUAUAUGCUUGGAACAUUGAGAGAAGCAUGAAACUUCCAGGAGGUUUCCAGCAGAAAUCAGGGUCAUGAGUAGCAAUUUCUAACACACUGUGCCUUUUGAGAUCCAUAUCAUUUCUAAAGAUGGUUUUGGCCUUACAGCGAGCAUAAAAUACACAAUCUCUGUUAUGUUUGCUGUGAUCUGUUAAAAUGUAGAGACUACUUCUAUGUCUCAGAUAUGUUCCUGAUCCUCUUUGUAUGGUUUGUGAGCAUCUAAAAGCCUGAUUUCAGCUGCGCUUGCCAAUAUGUUAAUUCCUAAGCUGAAUUUCAAUAGAGCAGUAUCAUAGUUUCACGAUUAGAUCACGAUAAGGCUGCAGCGGGGCUGAGAAACACAGUUCUGCUUCUGCUGUAAGCUGCUCACUUUCACACCUGUGCCCUGUCUUUCUUUGUGCCUGUAAAAGCAUUUAUAACGCUCUAUGGCAAACUGGGUUGGGUUACAACUAGACCAGGGAAAAGAAAAACAGUUAGGUUAAACUCCCAUCUGCUUUACUGCUCAGUUGUAUGAUCAUGUCCUAGAAGAGAGGAAGGUCUGAUGGAGGGCAGGACUGUGAAUGAUUCAGGAACAGGGAAGGAACAUCUCCUUUGGUAGGAAUGCCUAAAAGCUACUUUGUCUUGAAAAAAGUGCCCAGAUUCACACCUUACUGAACUUUCUGGCACCAAAGAGGACCAGGCACAGGUGGAAGCUGAGCAGCUUACACAAUUUGAGAUGCCAUAUGUCCCAGGUCGUGUUAGCUUUUGACUGAUGUGACGUGUAAUUUGAGAGGGAAGAAUGAUAACUAGACACAUCACCUUGAAUAUAUUGCAAGCACGCUGUAAAUGUGUUACAAGUAAUCUUGGAAAGGAAAUGUCAUUCAUGACUGCAUAUACACCUUCACAUGAUAAGGUUCUGUUGGGGCUGACUACUCCCUUCCCCAUUAGGUACCAUUCAUCUGAAGUCUAAGAGUACUUUAGUGCACUUAUGUUCAGCACCUCAGAUUAUCCUGUUAGCAAAUACAACACUGAGAAGAAUGAUUAGUGCAAUUUUUAACAGUAAAUGUACAUUUUAAUUGUUUCAGACUGUAACUGUUUCAAUUAAAAAUAGAUUUCCUUAAUUUGCUAUAGAUAUUCUACAAUAUUCCCUGAUGUUUUUGAUGAAAGAGCAAACAACCAAAUCAACAGGAAGUCUCUGCCUGUGUCACAAAUCAUGGAAGCAGUUGAUAUGUUGCAUUUUAAGUACUUUAUUGGCUGAGAUCUAUUUCUCACUGUAAACAUGAUAAAGAACAGUGAGCCAAUCUCUUCUUCCUUAGCAGAAACAAAGUUCUAUCCUUUUAUCAUGCUCUCCAGUCUCAAAUGUUUGAUCCUCUCCCACUCCAGCACCCACUAACUGCUGCUGCCUCCCAUUUAUUGUCCAGCUGUUUAAACAUAAAGCUGAAAACACAGGAACAUUAAGAUUUACCUGCAAGCUUUUUAUCCUGUGCGGAUACUUAAUCGGGUAACAAAAUCUCUAUUAGCACACACAGAGUUAGUUUACAGUAGGAGAACUAAUUAAGAUGAUAAGAGAGGAAAUCCUACUUUUAACCAAAAAAAUUAAAUUAGUGUAAAAUUGUUAUUUUCAGGUCUUUGAGUCAUCCUGUUGAAGCCAACAUUUCUUUUGUUUUUUAAAGCAUUUCAGCUUGCAAAAUGAAAAUUAAGAGUAUAGAAGAGUUUAUGUAACACGUGCUUUUAUUAGAUUUAAAGCAGUAAAUAGGGUCCAAAAAUAAACAUUGUAUUUUAAGAAUAAUCUAGGUGUUACAGGAUUAAAACUGAUAAGCCUGUGUACUGUAAAAGCUUUGAAGAUCUGUAAUACAUGCCCCUUCACAGUUUGUACCAACUCACUUUUGCAGUAAGCAAAGGACCUUCUUUUAAAAGGCUUCAUUUUCACGUGCAAAAAAAAUGCAUAAACAUUGGUUCAGAAACGUUGGUUCUUUGCUGAAUAUACAUGGCAGAUAUUUGUUGUGGGACUUAAAUGUUGAAAUACACUUUACAAACAAAAAGUGUGUGUCGUAUUUGAAUGCAUCUUAAGUGAGAUGUUUAAAAUACAGCUGUGUGUGAGCACAGAGCCCACCUCCAGCUUUGUACUGAGGUAUGUAUUAGCUUUCAGUAAUCCUUCUUCUCACAAGCUCCCAUUCAGGCAACUUAAAGGAGUACAUCCGUUUGUUUCAGAGCCACUGUUGCACUGAUCAUUUGUCCAUCCAGGCUGCUUUAACAUUUCAUUUCACAUUGUAUGAGAUUGUAGUCAGAAAUAAACCCAGCAAGAACUAACAGUAGUGCUUUUCUACAAUGUAACACAGUAACCAGGGGCGUCCAGCAAAAACUAUCACUCCCAGAGGCUUUGUUUAACAGUAUAAUAGAAAAUUAGCUAUGAAUAAUAGAUCCGACAUUUGUGUAUGACUUAAGAGUUAUUUGUUAAUCCCUUGAAAGGAAAGAAAAAGCUGGGUCAGCUUUUUAUGUUGACAGCAAAAGAAACUCAAAUAUUUACAGCGAGUUUUUGUGGUCUCUCUUGAUAAUACAAAAACAAAGCAUACAGUCCUCGUUAUCAUCUUACAUUCUGAGAAGCACCAUUUCCUAGUGAUAUAAACUUAGAUUUGCCAUGGUCUUUAGUCAUUUUUACUUUGAAUAAUGCAUAUCUUUGUAGUUUUGUUUUGGGUUCUAGAAACUACAGCGCUCCUUUACACUACCAUGAUCUCUUCUGAUUUGGGUUCUUUUUAUACAAGAGAAAAUGGAAAGCCUCUAUCCCAUCGUAAUGUCCUCAUCUUGGCAGCACAGCUGUAAGCAUCCUUAGGUCUGACUACACACUUCAAGUCAGCAGCAGCUACAAAGCGCUCCUUGGGAACAGGUGAACACUUCCUCCACCUAAAUCUACAGUGUGUAAUUUAAGAGUUCUUCAGAGGAUGAUCAUCUGGACUCAGUCAGUAGAAAUGGAGUAGAUUCUAAUACUAGUAUGGAUACUUUCAUAAAAAUAAAAUGAAUGAAAUUAUGUUUAAAUGUCUUCCUGACCUCUUGUACAGUUCACUCCGUUUAAAAGAUAAAGGCUUAUACUCCAACUAACUCAAAGUAUAAUUACAGUUUUGAACUAAAAUUGUUUUUUUUUCUUGUGUGAUUGAAAACCAACCCUUAAUAGAAAAAUAUGGGGAAAAGAUCUGACAAAAAGUUUUGCACAAUUUCUCACAGACAAAAGACCAAUAGGCAGAAGUUCUUAUUGUAGUUGCAAAGUACACAGGGUACUGUGUUUCUCACAUUUGUACAGUACUUACAGUCAUCAGUCAUUCAAUAUGUAGCAGUUGAUCAAAAGCAUUGCUUCUUCCUUAGAAAUCACCAGGUUGUGAUUUUUCUGCUUCAUCUUUCAUGCUCCAAUCCUUUACUUAGAAGAUGAUGUUAGUCUCAGCUUUCACAGUCAUAAAGCUUCCGGCCUUACAGUUGCAAAGAUAAGUUUGAAAUAGUCAAGAACACUUUCUGAAAUAAAACAAACAAAAAUACAACAUAACCACAAAGAAAAGGUGACUCUCACCCUUUAGUUUCAACAGUAUGAUGUUUAAACAGAUAUAAUGAGGUUUAAGGGCUCUAUCUACGUGUUUGGUUGUUAAUAUUUAUUGAUAACCAGAGGUGAGACCCGAUUCUGCUGCAACUACUAUCCAUAGGCAUGAAAAAAGCCUUACUUCUCUCCACAAGUGACUCUUUGAGCAGACUUCUGCAUGAUCUUGUAAUUGAUGUCAGAAUUAGUCAGAGUAAUACUACAACUCUUUACCUCUUAAGCGACUUUCUGUGAUUAUCUACGUUCAUAGUUAUAUUAUCAACGUCUGUUCCAAAAUGAAUCAUACCUUUACAUAUUUUUCUUUGUAAUGCUGGAAAAGUUGCAAGGUGGGUUUUAUGCUUUUAAUUUUUGUAUACAUUAUGAUAAUUGAAACAGAAAUGCUAAUUAUUAAUAUAAAAUGUAAUGACAAAAACUGCACAGCAAUCAAGCUAAUGAACUGCAGCAUGUUUGAUCGAGCAGUAAUCAGUCUUGCACCAGAAUGGAUUCUCUCAAAGGUUUAUACCAAAGUUGAGUAUAUGAAGGAAAGCAUGGUAAGCAAAAU
ensembl:lncRNA